CGAACGCUGGCGGCGUGCCUAAUACAUGCAAGUUGAGCGCUGAAGGUUGGUACUUGUACCAACUGGAUGAGCAGCGAACGGGUGAGUAACGCGUGGGGAAUCUGCCUUUGAGCGGGGGACAACAUUUGGAAACGAAUGCUAAUACCGCAUAAAAACUUUAAACACAAGUUUUAAGUUUGAAAGAUGCAAUUGCAUCACUCAAAGAUGAUCCCGCGUUGUAUUAGCUAGUUGGUGAGGUAAAGGCUCACCAAGGCGAUGAUACAUAGCCGACCUGAGAGGGUGAUCGGCCACAUUGGGACUGGGACACGGCCCAAACUCCUACGGGAGGCAGCAGUAGGGAAUCUUCGGCAAUGGACGAAAGUCUGACCGAGCAACGCCGCGUGAGUGAAGAAGGUUUUCGGAUCGUAAAACUCUGUUGGUAGAGAAGAACGUUGGUGAGAGUGGAAAGCUCAUCAAGUGACGGUAACUACCCAGAAAGGGACGGCUAACUACGUG
rnacentral:rRNA from 1 species